CCGCUAAAUCUAAUUAACGCAGACAGCGGAUACCCUGGCCUUUUCAACCGAUGAAGGACGCACAAGGCGUGCGAUACGCGCCGGCUAGCUGCCAAGAAGCAUUUUAAGCCGACGAUUUCCGAAUGGGGAAACCCGUUCCCGUUUGCGCGGGAUCAGUCACACACCAAGUUCCUGAACUUGUUUCAGGAUAUUAAUGUGUGGCAGGGAACCACUCGAACUGAAACAUCUUAGUAGGGUGAGGAAAAGAAAUUAAUAAAGAUUGCCUUAGUAGCGGAGAGCGAAACGGCAAAAGCCCAAAUCCGGCACUAGCUUGCUAGUGCUGGAGGUUGUAGGAGCCUGACAUGGGAGUUAAUAAGCUAGUAGAACAAUCUGGAAUGGUUGACCAUAGAGAGUGAAAGUCUCGUACACGAAAGCAAUGUAACCCCUAAGGAAUUCCUGAGUACCACGGUGUAAAUACUCUGUGGGAAUCUGUGGUUCGACGUAGCUCACCACACGGUGAGUGAAAUCGAAUCCGUGGGGGAACCAUCCUCCAAGGCUAAAUAUUGAAAAGGACCGAUAGUGAACUAGUACCGUGAGGGAAAGGUGAAAAGAACCCCAGAAGGGGAGUGAAAUAGAACAUGAAACUGUUUGCGGACAAACCGACAGAGUGCUGAACUUGUUUUGGUAUGAUGUCGUGCCUAUUGAAGAAUGAUCCGGCGAGUUGCCUCAUACUGUUGUCUAACUCCUUAAUGGAGGGAGGCAAAGGGAAACCGAGUGCUAACAGUGCGUUUAUAACAGUAUGUGGCAGACCCGAAACCAGGCGAACUAACCAUGAGCAGGGUGAUCCCCGAUGAAAAUCGGGGGGAGGCCCGAACCGGUGUAAGUUACAAUUUGCUCGGAUGACUUGUGGUUAGAGGUAAUAUGCCAAUCGAGCCUGGAGAUAGCUGGUUCUCCCCGAAAGGUCUUUAGGGACUUACGGUCAUGAAUAAAUUUGCGGGAGGUAGAGCUACUGAAUGGGGCACUAAGGGUAACCAAGGUGUUCCAACCAAACUCCGAAUUACUGCAAAAGAUCCGUGACUAGACAGCCAUGCAGGGCUAAGCUUGUGUGGCUAGAGGGAAACAACCCAGACUCUCGGCUAAGGCCUCUAAAUUUUGACUAAGUUUGAAAGGAAGUCGUGCACCCCAGACAGCUAGGAGGUUGGCUUAGAAGCAGCCACCCUUUAAAGAAAGCGUAACAGCUCACUAGUCGACUGGUGUGCGGCGCCGAAGAUUUAUCGAGGAUUAAGUCAAAUGCCGAAGCUAGAGCCCUGAACUUGUUUCAGGGGGUAGGGGAGCGUUCCAAGGGCUGUGAAGCCCCGAUGUAAAUCGGGGUGGAGCGCUUGGAAGUGAGAAUGCCGGAAUGAGUAGCGUACAAUGCUGAUGAGAAUUCAGCACGCCGAAUGCCCAAGGUUUCCACAGCUAUGUUCGUCAUCUGUGGGUUAGUCGGCUCCUAAGGCGAGGCCAACUGGCGUAGUCGAUGGACAACUGGUUAAAAUUCCAGUACUUGUUUUGGGCCGUUACUAGUUGGGGAUUGACUGGAUUGGAGAUUCAAAGCCCUUUAAGAAUUAGGGUGCAAACAGUUAAAUAGUGCAAGUCGGAAAAUCCGCUUGUAUGAUUAAUUGAGCUGUUAUGCAAAGUCCAUAGAGAUAUGGGUGAUUUUGACUUCUUCAGUCUACAAGAAAAGAUUCGCAACGAGGACCAAGAUGAGCCGUACCGCAAACCGACACAGGUGGGCAGGUAGAGAAUACUAAGGCGAGCGAGAGAAAGAUCCUUAAGGAACUCGGCAAACAAACUACCCGUAACUUCGGGAGAUGGGUUCCCUGAACUUGUUUCAGGGUGCAACAAAAGUGUGCUGGUCGACUGUUUAACAAAAACACAGGUCCAUGCAAACCCGUAAGGGAAAGUAUAUGGGCUGACGCCUGCCCAGUGCCGGUAGGUUAAAGGGAUCCCUGUUUUACUUUCGGGUAACUCGGGGUGAACCGAAGCUCCGGUAAACGGCAGCAGUAACUAUAACUGUUCUACGGUAGCCGAAAGUCGUUGCCGUAGUAAAACCUAGCUAUAUGCUGGAACAUCCCGUUAAACAAGAGCUACUAUGGUACAAUUAUCCUGUAGAUAAUGGUAUCAAGUAAAAAUGCUUUUGGUAGGGACAAUCAGCAGGAAAGACUCAAGACAAUUGGUUGGGUGGUAGGAUUCAUUGAUGGUGAAGGCUGUUUUUCAGUUUCACUUCAUAAAAAUCCAACCACCAGGCUUGGUUGGCAAAUAAUGCCAGAGUUUGUAGCAACGCAAGGUGAAAGAAGCCUAAAAUCUCUUGAAAAAUUACAAUCGUUUUUUGAUUGUGGUCGAAUUUUUGUGAAUCGUCGAUAUGACAAUCACAGAGAAAAUCUUUACAGAUUUUGUGUUCGAUCAUUCUCAGAUUUGAAAGACAAGAUUGUUCCAUUCUUUCAAGAAAACAGGCUUCAAACUGCAAAAUCUCAAGAUUUUGAGAUUUUUGCUAAAAUAAUAAAUUUGAUGGAUAAGAAAGAACAUCUUUCUAAAGAAGGUAUCAAAAAAAUUAUUGCACUUGCAGCGACUAUGAACACCAAGAAAAGAAAACAAUUGUUUAGAGAAUCCCCAGAGACUAUACGCUAGGGUCCGAUGUCAUAUCGGACAUGAUAUAGUCCGAUCUCUGUGGAGACACAGAGUUAACAUUUCAGAGCGAAGUUCCUUGUCACUUAAUUGGUGACGUGCACGAACGGCGUAACGAGCUAGCAACUGUCUCGAGGAUCUACUCGGCGAAAUUGCGUUGGCUGUGAAGACGCGGCCUACUUCCAUCAGGACAAAAAGACCCCGUGAAGCUUUACUGUAGCUUGGCAUUGCCCUCACAUUUUUGGAUUGUCUAGAAUAAGUGGGAGAUGGUUGACCUUCGGGUUGAUUAUCACCAGUGUAAUACCACUCGUUUAAAAGUGUGGGGCUUACUUAACAGCUCUGGAUACGAGUUGAAGGAAAGUGCUAGGUGGGCAGUUUGCCUGGGGCGGGUCCCUGCCAAAGAGUAACGCAGGGGCACAAAGGUUGGCUUGUGACCAAUGGAAACGGUCAUGAAAGCGUAUAGGUAUAAGCCAGCUUGACUGCGAGGCCGACGGGCCGAGCAGGUGCGAAAGCAGGUCUAAGUGAUCCCCUGAAACCAUAUGGGUGGUUCAGGGCUUAUCGGAUAAAAGCUACUCCGGGGAUAACAGAGUGGUCGCGCCCAAGAGUCCAUAUCGACGGCGCGGUUCGCUACCUCGAUGUCGGCUCAGGUUAUCCUGGGGCUGGAGAAGGUCCCAAGGGUUGGUCUGUUCGCCCAUUAAAAACCUACGUGAGCUGGGUUCAGAGCGUCGCAAGACAGCUCGGACUCUAUCCGAUGGAAGCGUUUGAGCCUUGAGGGGAGCUCUCCUUAGUACGAGAGGACCAGGAGGGGGGAAUCCCUAGUGUGCCGGUUGUCGCGUCAGCGGCAACGCCGGGUAGCUACAUUCCUUUAGGAUAACCGCUGAAAGCAUCUAAGCGGGAAGCCGUCCCCAAGAUUAAGGCUCGGUAAGACCCCUGGCAGAAUACCAGGUCGACCCUUCGAUUUCACUCAGGGUCAUCCUUGGGUGAAUAGGGUUGCUCCUUUGGUGAGUUUAAGGAUUUCCUUUUUGGGAGAUCCUGAGCGCAGCCGAAGGAUGAUAGGCAGGCAGUGGAAGCUCUGUAAAGGGUUAAGCUUACCUGUACUAAUUGGUCGAUGAUUGGCGGAC
rfam:Candidatus Woesebacteria bacterium RIFCSPLOWO2_01_FTLL_44_14 rifcsplowo2_01_scaffold_2390, whole genome shotgun sequence.